AACGAACGCUGGCGGCAUGCCUAACACAUGCAAGUCGAACGAGACCUUCGGGUCUAGUGGCGCACGGGUGCGUAACGCGUGGGAACCUGCCCUUAGGUUCGGAAUAACUCCCUGAAAGGGGUGCUAAUACCGGAUAAUGUCUUCGGACCAAAGAUUUAUCGCCUUUGGAUGGGCCCGCGUUGGAUUAGCUAGUUGGUAGGGUAAAAGCCUACCAAGGCGACGAUCCAUAGCUGGUCUGAGAGGAUGAUCAGCCACACUGGGACUGAGACACGGCCCAGAAUCCUACGGAAGGCAGCAGUGGGGAAUAUUGGACAAUGGGCGAAAGCCUGAUCCAGCAAUGCCGGGUGAGUGAUGAAGGCCUUAGGGUUGUAAAGCUCUUUUACCCGGGAUGAUAAUGACAGUACCGGGAGAAUAAGCACCGGCUAACUCCGUG
rnacentral:rRNA from 1 species